rnacentral:rRNA from 1 species
UACGUAGGGGGCAAGCGUUGUCCGGAAUCACUGGGCGUAAAGGGCGCGUAGGCGGCGCGGGCAGUCAACGGUGAAAGCUUGGGGCUCAACCCCGAGUCGGCCGUCGAUACUCCCGUGCUUGAGCACUGUAGAGGCAGGUGGAAUUCCGGGUGUAGCGGUGGAAUGCGUAGAGAUCCGGAAGAACACCGGUGGCGAAGGCGGCCUGCUGGGCAGUAGCUGACGCUGAGGCGCGACAGCGUGGGGAGCAAACAGG